rnacentral:rRNA from 1 species
AUUGAACGCUGGCGGCAUGCCUUACACAUGCAAGUCGAACGGCAGCACGGGUGCUUGCACCUGGUGGCGAGUGGCGAACGGGUGAGUAAUACAUCGGAACAUGUCCUGUAGUGGGGGAUAGCCCGGCGAAAGCCGGAUUAAUACCGCAUACGAUCUACGGAUGACAGCGGGGGACCUUCGGGCCUCGCGCUAUGGGGUUGGCCGAUGGCUGAUUAGCUAGUUGGUGGGGUAAAGGCCUACCAAGGCGACGAUCAGUAGCUGGUCUGAGAGGACGACCAGCAACACUGGGACUGAGACACGGCCCAGACUCCUACGGGAGGCAGCAGUGGGGAAUUUUGGACAAUGGGCGAAAGCCUGAUCCAGCAAUGCCGCGUGUGUGAAGAAGGCCUUCGGGUUGUAAAGCACUUUUGUCCGGAAAGAAAUCCUUGGCCCUAAUACGGUCGGGGGAUGACGGUACCGGAAGAAUAAGCACCGGCUAACUACGUG